rnacentral:rRNA from 1 species
CAGUCGAGCGGACAGAUGGGAGCUUGCUCCCUGAUGUUAGCGGCGGACGGGUGAGUAACACGUGGGUAACCUGCCUGUAAGACUGGGAUAACUCCGGGAAACCGGGGCUAAUACCGGAUGGUUGUUUGAACCGCAUGGUUCAAACAUAAAAGGUGGCUUCGGCUACCACUUACAGAUGGACCCGCGGCGCAUUAGCUAGUUGGUGAGGUAACGGCUCACCAAGGCAACGAUGCGUAGCCGACCUGAGAGGGUGAUCGGCCACACUGGGACUGAGACACGGCCCAGACUCCUACGGGAGGCAGCAGUAGGGAAUCUUCCGCAAUGGACGAAAGUCUGACGGAGCAACGCCGCGUGAGUGAUGAAGGUUUUCGGAUCGUAAAGCUCUGUUGUUAGGGAAGAACAAGUACCGUUCGAAUAGGGCGGUACCUUGACGGUACCUAACCAGAAAGCCACGGCUAACUACGUGCCAGCAGCCGCGGUAAUACGUAGGUGGCAAGCGUUGUCCGGA